rnacentral:rRNA from 1 species
AACGUAGGUUCCGAGCGUUAUCCGGAUUUACUGGGCGUAAAGCGCGUGCAGGCGGCCACGCAAGUCGGGCAUGAAAUCUCUCGGCUCAACCGGGAGAGGCUGUCCGAUACUGCGCGGCUUGAGGACGGAAGAGGCGGGUGGAAUUCCGCAUGUAGUGGUGAAAUGCGUAGAGAUGCGGAGGAACACCAGUGGCGAAAGCGGCCCGCUGGCCCGCUCCUGACGCUCAGACGCGAAAGCUCGGGGAGCGAACGGG